CUUAUUUGGCUCCUGUCUGCAGGGUUUACGCGCACGUUGGAAUCGAAGAGAGCUCUGUUGUUGCAAUGUUCAGCCCACAAGAGCUUACAGGUGAAGGAAUGGGACAAGACCCAUCUUUAUGCAAAGCCAGCGUUACAGUAAUGUUCCAGCAUCUCAUAAUCUAUCCUGAGGAAUUCAGCUGCCUCCCAGGGUGAAUACAGGUAUUUCUGAUGACAGUCUGCCUCUAUCUUACAGAGCAGCUUGUUGCUAUAUACCAUUGAAAAGCCUUCAGAGCUAAGAGGUACUACUAACCAAUAACCUGCUUGGCUCAAAGGGCCAGCACCUUCUCUCUAAAGCCCAAGAGGAGUUUGAGGAAAACUAGGUGUCUCUGUUCACUCCAGGCUGAAGUUACAGGUGAGUAAACCUAAAUGUAAGGUGGACUAUGCUAAAAAUUCCCAAUGAAGAAACUUUCACAUGUCUUACUCUCUGUCCUAGUCCCAGAGCCUGUAAAGGUGAACCCACUGGGACUGGCUGGGGGAGAAGAGGAAGAUUUGUUCCAGAAGGAACUGUCUGAGGGAUGAUAAAGAUUUCUAUACAGAGAAAGGGAGUAAUCAUCACUUGUUGAAAACAUUAGUUUUAUUUUUUCCAGGUUUGAGG
rnacentral:sRNA from 1 species